rnacentral:rRNA from 1 species
AUGGCGCCGGUGAAGGUGUUCGGGUCGGCCGCGUUCACGAACGUGGCCCGCGUGCUGGUGUGCCUGGAGGAGGUCGGUGCGGACUACGAGGUUGUCAACAUCGACUUCCUGGCCAAGGAACACAAGAAACCCGAGCACCUCGCCCGAAACCCAUUUGGUGAAAUCCCAGCUUUUCAAGAUGGAGACCUCGUGCUCUUUGAGUCCCGUGCCAUCGCCAAAUACAUUCUCCGCAAAUACAGGACGGGCGAAGUCGACAUGCUGAGAGAAAGCAACCCGGAAGAAGCGGCUACGGCGGACGUCUGGGAGGUCGAGGCGCACCAGUACAGCAAAGCAGUCGCGCCUAUCGUCUACGAGUGCAUCGUGUACCCCACGGCCUACGGCAUACCGACGAACCAGAAGGUCGUGGACGAGAGCGUGGAGAAGCUGAAGGAGGUGCUUGAGAUCUACGAAGGCCGUCUGUCGAAGCAUGAGUACCUGGCGGGAAGCUUCAUUAGCGUCGCGGACCUCAACCAUUUCCCCUUCACGUUCCGCUUCAUGGAAACUCCGUAUGCGUCCGUGUUCGACUCGUUCCCUUCCGUGAAAGCGUGGUGGGAAAAGCUCCUGUUGAGGCCUUCCGUGAAGAAGAUCAGCGCCGACAUGCAGAAGAGGGUCUAA